CAGUCUGAGGACACCUGCACUUGGGGGUUGGGUUGAGGUGAAGGAAUAUGUUCAGGGACAGGAGCUGCCAGAGAGGCAGGAAGAGAGGCAGAGAGCGCCAUGCCAUAGAGGCCACGAGAAGAAUGUAUUUCAAGGAGGGAACCUCGGUCUGCUGAGAGAGAGGAAGAGGUCAGGAAAGAUGAGGAAUGAAAAAUGUCUGCUAAAUUUAGCCAUGGAGUCGUGAGUAAGCUGAGAAAGAGCCGUGUCAGCGAGGGGAUGGGCUGGAGCCAUGGUGGAGGCCGAGGAGAGAGUGGGAGGUGAAGAGCCCAGACACGGAGAAGAUUCUGGAAAGACAAGGAGACCAGAGCACAGAGAGGCCGAGGAACCGGGGGGACACACUCAGGUGGCAGAUGACAGGGACUGAAGACAGGGUUUCUGACUCCAGACCGUGCUCUCAACUAUGUGCUUUCUCAACAGCCGUUAUCGGUGAUUUUGUCAUGAGAGAGAGACAGCCAGCGAGAGAGGGAACCCAAGCAGGGGGAGUGGGAGAGGAAGA